rnacentral:rRNA from 1 species
GAAGUGUAGCGUAUAGGUGUUGACGCUCUGGUGCGAUUGCUUGCUCUGGGUUCACUGGAAAGUGGCUUGCCAAAGAAGGUGGAAGGCCUGUAAGAGYGAGCGAUUGUGCCGGUUUGUCGGCGCCUGGGAGUCGGGUUGCUUGAAAACGCAGCCCAAAGUGGGUGGUAAACCCCAUCUAAGGCUAAAUACGACCACAAGACCGAUAGCAAACAAGUACCGUGAGGGAAAGUUGCAAAGAACUUUGAAGAGAGAGUUUAAGAGUACGUGAAACCACUAGGAUGGAAGCGGAUAGAGCUGACGAGUAGCCGGCGAUAUUCAGCGUGUUGGCUGUCCGGAGUGCUGGAGACUGCCUGUGACGUUGUCACGGGCGCUUCGGGCUUGUCGGUGACGGUCUAGCGUGCAUUUAUCGUCGGUGUUGUGCUGAGAGCCAUGGUGCGUCGCUCCGGCGCCUGAGGUGUUGCCGACCGCUUCGGCGGACGUGUCUUGCCUCGGGACUGCUGGUUCUGUCGUGCUAUGGUGUCUAUGUACAGAGCABCGCGAAUGUGACGCCCUCRGGUGUCGCUGCUCUAUCUCGGCAUGUGAAKUCGGUCACCUAUCCGUCCCGUCUUGAAACACGGACCAAGAAGUCUAGCAUGUGCGCGAGUCAAUGGGCUUGUUAAACCCAUGGGCGUAAUGAAAGUAAAGGUCGGUUCGGCCGGCUGAUAUGGGAUCCGUUGAGGUUUCGGCCUCGGCGGCGCACCAUAGCCCCAUCCUGAACGCUUGCGUUGGGGUGGCGGAAGAGCGUACAUGCUGGGACCCGAAAGAUGGUGAACUAUGCCUGAGCAGGACGAAGCCAGAGGAAACUCUGGUGGAAGUCCGUAGCGGUUCUGACGUGCAAAUCGAUCGUCUGACUCGGGUAUAGGGGCGAAAGACUAAUCGAACCAUCUAGUAGCUGGUUCCCUCCGAAGUUUCCCUCAGGAUAGCUGGAACUAUGAAUAGUUGUAUCCGGUAAAGAUAAUGAUUAGAGGAAACGGGGACGAAAUGUCCUCGACCUAUUCUCAAACUUUCAAUGGUUAUGAAGUCAAUGUUGCUUAAUUGAACUUUGACAGUGAAUAAUGUGGUUCCAAGUGGGCCAUUUUUGGUAAGCAGAACUGGCGAUGUGGGAUGAACCAAACGUUGAGUUAAGGUGCCUAACUCUCCGCUCAUGAGACCCCAUGAAAGGCGUUGGUUGAUAUAGACAGCAGGACGGUGGCCAUGGAAGUCGGAAUCCGCUAAGGAGUGUGUAACAACUCACCUGCCGAAUCAACUAGCCCUGAAAAUGGAUGGCGCUUGAGCGGGGGACCUAUACUCGACCGUCGCUCAGCUUGUACGUAUUGGUAGUGCGUCUGGCUGCGACGAGUAGGAGGGUCGCGGCGGUUGCGCAGAAGCCUUGGGGCGUAGGCCCAGGUGGAGCUUCCGUCGGUGCAGAUCUUGGUGGUAGUAGCAAAUAUUCAAGUGAGAUCCUUGAAGACUGAAGUGGGGAAGGGUUCCACGUGAACAGCAGUUGAAUGUGGGUCAGUCGGUCCUAAGGUACUGCCUAAUGGCGUGUAUCAAUGCGGAGCGGCGCUUCGGCGCAUGUUCUGCGGAAGCCGAAAGGGAAGCGGGUUAAUAUUCCCGCACCUGGACUCGGAGAUUGGUGCUCUUCGGAGUGCCAUGAGCGGUAACGCAAACGAGCUCGAUGACGCUAAGCAGAGCCCCGGCCAGAGAUCUCUUCUUUGGUUAAGGAACGGACUCCCUGGAAACGGUUUAGCCGGAGAUAGGGACGUUGUUUCCGUAUAGCAGCGCGGUUUCUGUGCUGUCCGGUGCGCUUUGCUUGGCCCUUGAAAAGUCGAGUAAGUCGUGUUAAUCUCGAGCCUGGCCGUACCCAUAUCCGCAGCAGGUCCUCAAGGUGAACAGCCUCUAGUCGAUAGAAUAAUGUAGGUAAGGGAAGUCGGCAAAUUUGAUCCGUAACUUCGGGAAAAGGAUUGGCUCUAAGGACCGGUUGGUCGGGCAUCGUGCUGAAGCUUGUGCAAGUCGCCGCUACGAGUGCGUUAGGCUUCGGCUGAGCGCAUUCUAGUCGGCGGCGCGCCUUGUGUACGCGCGUUGCUUGUGCGGUCGCUCUCGGGCGGUCGUACGUCGAUCAACACUAAACGGUCGACUUAGAACUGGUACGGACGCGGGGAAUCCGACUGUCUAAUUAAAACAGAGGAGAUAGAUGGCCCUUGCGGGCGCUGACUAUCUCUGAUUUCUGCCCAGUGCUCUGAAUGUUAACGUGGAGUAAUUCAACUAAGCGCGGGUAAACGGCGGGAGUAACUAUGACUCUCUUAAGGUAGCCAAAUGCCUCGUCAUCUAAUUAGUGACGCGCAUGAAUGGAUUAACGAGAUUCCCACUGUCCCUAUCUACUAUCUAGCGAAACCACAGCCAAGGGAACGGGCUUGGCGAAAAUAGCGGGGAAAGAAGACCCUGUUGAGCUUGACUCUAGUUUGACUCUGUGAAGAGUCAUGGGAGGUGUAGUAUAAGUGGGAGGUCUUCGGGCCGACAGUGAAAUACCACUACUUUCAUCGAUUCUUUACUUAUUCGGUAAGGCGAGAAUUGCGGCCCUCGCGGGUUGCUUGGUUCUGGUGCUAAGCUCGACCGCUCGGCGGUUGGGCGACUUGCGCCGAAGACAGUGUCAGGCGGGGAGUUUGACUGGGGCGGUACAUCUGUCAAAUUGUAACGCAGGUGUCCUAAGGCUAGCUCAGAGAGGACGGAAACCUCUCGUAGAGCAAAAGGGCAAAAGCUUGCUUGAUCUUGAUUUUCAGCACGAAUACAGACCGCGAAAGCGUGGCCUAUCGAUCCUUAGCACUUAGAGGGUUUCUAAGCUGAGGUGUCGGAAAAGUUACCACAGGGAUAACUGGCUUGUGGCAGCCAAGCGUCCAUAGCGACGUUGCUUUUUGAUCCUUCGAUGUCGGCUCUUCCUAUCAUUGCGAAGCAGAAUUCGCCAAGCGUUGGAUUGUUCACCCACCAAUAGGGAACGUGAGCUGGGUUUAGACCGUCGUGAGACAGGUUAGUUUUACCCUACUGUUGACGAGUUGUUGCGAUAGUAAUCCUACUCAGUACGAGAGGAACCGUAGGUUCAGACAUUUGGUUCAUGUGCUUGGCCGAUCGGCCAAUGGUGCGACGCUACCAUCUGCGGGAUUAUAACUGAACGCCUCUAAGUUAGAAUCCCAUCUAGUCGUUGUGUGUGCGAACGAUACCUAGCUUCCCGAAGUCGGGAGGCAAGUAUAUGUGGCCGCAAGGUCACAGCCUAUGCCCUAUCAGAUAACCUUGCCGGGCGGCGGAACGCCGUCCGGUUGUUAAGGCCGGAUAACUCUGGCUCAGUCAUCGGGGCGCCAAACCGCCUGCAUACGACAGGCGUACUGGUCCGGGUGUGUAUCCAGUAGAGC